GACGAACGCUGGCGGCGUGCUUAACACAUGCAAGUCGAACGGAAAGGCCCUGCUUGCAGGGUACUCGAGUGGCGAACGGGUGAGUAACACGUGGGUGAUCUGCCCUGCACUUCGGGAUAAGCCUGGGAAACUGGGUCUAAUACCGGAGAGGAGCCAUUUUUAGUGUGAUGGUUGGAAAGUUUUUUCGGUGUAGGAUGAGCUCGCGGCCUAUCAGCUUGUUGGUGGGGUAAUGGCCUACCAAGGCGGCGACGGGUAGCCGGCCUGAGAGGGUGGACGGCCACAUUGGGACUGAGAUACGGCCCAGACUCCUACGGGAGGCAGCAGUGGGGAAUAUUGCACAAUGGGCGCGAGCCUGAUGCAGCGACGCCGCGUGGGGGAUGACGGCCUUCGGGUUGUAAACUCCUUUCGCUAGGGACGAAGCUUUUUGUGACGGUACCUAGAUAAGAAGCACCGGCUAACUACGUG
rnacentral:rRNA from 1 species